GGCGGUCUGGAACACGGCGAGACCGAGGCCGGUGAGGACGGCCCGCAGCACCUUGCGGCGCCGCGGCUCCGGUACGGCGGGCCGCACCC
rnacentral:tRNA from 1 species